AUGAACGCUAGCUACAGGCUUAACACAUGCAAGUCGAGGGGCAUCAGGGUGUAGCAAUACACCGCUGGCGACCGGCGCACGGGUGAGUAACACGUAUCCAACCUGCCCUUUACUCGGGGAUAGCCUUUCGAAAGAAAGAUUAAUACCCGAUGGCAUAACAUGACCUCCUGGUUUUGUUAUUAAAGAAUUUCGGUAGAGGAUGGGGAUGCGUUCCAUUAGGCAGUUGGCGGGGUAACGGCCCACCAAACCUUCGAUGGAUAGGGGUUCUGAGAGGAAGGUCCCCCACAUUGGAACUGAGACACGGUCCAAACUCCUACGGGAGGCAGCAGUGAGGAAUAUUGGUCAAUGGGCGAGAGCCUGAACCAGCCAAGUAGCGUGAAGGAUGACCGCCCUAUGGGUUGUAAACUUCUUUUAUAUGGGAAUAAAGGGUGCCACGUGUGGCAUUUUGUAUGUACCAUAUGAAUAAGGAUCGGCUAACUCCGUGCCAGCAGCCGCGGUAAUACGGAGGAUCCGAGCGUUAUCCGGAUUUAUUGUGUUUAAAGGGAGCGUAGGUGGACAUGUAAGUCAGUUGUGAAAGUUUGCGGCUCAACCGUAAAAUUGCAGUUGAUACUGCGUGUCUUGAGUACAGUAGAGGUGGGCGGAAUUCGUGGUGUAGCGGUGAAAUGCUUAGAUAUCACGAAGAACUCCGAUUGCGAAGGCAGCUCACUGGACUGCAACUGACACUGAUGCUCGAAAGUGUGGGUAUCAAACAGGAUUAGAUACCCUGGUAGUCCACACAGUAAACGAUGAAUACUCGCUGUUUGCGAUAUACAGUAAGCGGCCAAGCGAAAGCAUUAAGUAUUCCACCUGGGGAGUACGCCGGCAACGGUGAAACUCAAAGGAAUUGACGGGGGCCCGCACAAGCGGAGGAACAUGUGGUUUAAUUCGAUGAUACGCGAGGAACCUUACCCGGGCUUAAAUUGCAAAUGAAUAUGCCGGAAACGGCGUAGCCGCAAGGCAUUUGUGAAGGUGCUGCAUGGUUGUCGUCAGCUCGUGCCGUGAGGUGUCGGCUUAAGUGCCAUAACGAGCGCAACCCUUAUCUUCAGUUACUAACAGGUUAUGCUGAGGACUCUGGAGAGACUGCCGUCGUAAGAUGUGAGGAAGGUGGGGAUGACGUCAAAUCAGCACGGCCCUUACGUCCGGGGCUACACACGUGUUACAAUGGGGGGUACAGAAGGCCGCUACACAGCGAUGUGAUGCCAAUCCCUAAAGCCCCUCUCAGUUCGGAUCGAAGUCUGCAACCCGACUUCGUGAAGCUGGAUUCGCUAGUAAUCGCGCAUCAGCCACGGCGCGGUGAAUACGUUCCCGGGCCUUGUACACACCGCCCGUCAAGCCAUGGGAGCCGGGGGUACCUGAAGUACGUAACCGCAAGGAGCGUCCUAGGGUAAAACUGGUGACUGGGGCU
rnacentral:rRNA from 1 species